CCACUGCCAGCUGGCUCACAAUCUUCCAGUUUUCUGGAAAGAAAAAAGAAUUGAACUCAGACCAGAGGAAACAUCUCAUCGCCUUAACUUGACACAAACACCUAACAGUAUAAAUGUUUACAGUGUCUAUAUACCUUCUUAUAUUUCCCUGGUUAUAUUUAUUAGCCUUCUAUUCCUUGGCAAGACAUUCUCUUGCCUACUAUUGCAACACUUGGCUUGGGCCUCUUGAGGUAUUGGUGGGAAUUUAAUAUUGAUUCUUCCUGUCAUUUCGUAUAAUGUCUAAUCACAGGAGGAAUGUGUGCAAUAUCACCUGUUUCUCCAGUCUAUUUGAUAACCUUCUCCUGUUCUACUAUAAUGACAUUAAUCUCAGGGCAGUUUUGUCUGUAAUAUAAAAAUGCAGUGGUGCCGCGAAAGACAGCAAGGUUGUUCUCUGAUGCUGUCUGUGCUAGGAAUGGGAGUCUGUACGCUACAGUGUCAACACAGGCUGAUCCAACUCCCUCUACAGGUUGCCAGGGAACACAGCCUAGAAUGGAAGACAGUCGCACUAUGUACACAGCUUUAAUCAUUACCCUAGCAUCUUUAGAUACGGAUCCCAGUCGGCAAGAUGACUUUUCCUCCUGAACAUGGAUGCAAGGAUGCAAGGAAGGAGUGUGGAAGACAUCUCCUACUGAUGUUGGUCAUCCCGGAAACCUACUCACAACCCUUCAGUAUGUGCAAUCAAACCCUAGGGAAGCCCCUUCCUCGUGUCGCCCAGCAGAAGCUCCCCUGUGUUCUCUUGGAAGCUGGGGUCUGGGACAGCUCCAAAAUAACGCAGGCAUGGAACAGCUGGUGACAAGACAGAGACUUCCAACACACUCGGAGGAAUAGUACUGACGCCUUCCCUUGUUUCUGCUUGGAGACGACUGGCACCGACAAGAAAACUGACAUGCAGUAACAUCGGAGAUUGAAAUAGAACAGUACGAAAUGAAUCCAGACAGCUUUUUAAAUGAGAGAAUAAUUUAGAUGCUGCCAUAUAUUUCUGUGAGACUAAAUUAAAUAUGUUUAUUCUUGUUAGACUA